CCGGGUUAGGGGCGACGGGGGGAUUAACGCGUAUUCACCCUACCCUUAAAUUCGGGCACAAAAAUGGAGAAUAUAGGUUAUUUGCGGAUGUUUCCAGGAGAUUGAAAAUAUCAUGAUUAAAGAUUUAUCGCCUGGGGAAGGGGAUGCUUCCCUAUCAGGUAGUUGGCGGGAUUAAAGCCCCACCAAGCCUAUGACGGGUAGCCGGUCUGAGAGGAUGGUCGCCCGCAAUGGAACUGAGACACGGUCCAUACCCCUACGGGGGGCAGCAGUGGGGAAUCUUGGACAAUGGACGAAAGUCUGAUCCAGCAAUUCUGCGUGCGGGAUGAAGGUCUAUGGAUUGUAAACCGCUUUUCUGAAGGAAGACGAAUGACGGUACUUCAGGAACAAGCGACGGCUAACUUCGUGCCAGCAGCCGCGGUAAUACGAAGGUCGCAAGCGUUAUCCGGGGUUACUGGGCGUAAAGAGUGCGUAGAUGGUUUAGUAAGUCUGAUUUUAAAGACUCUGUCUCAAGCAGAGGAAGGGGUCAGAUACUGCUAUUCUGGAGAUAACUGGGGGUUAGUGGAAUUACCGGUGGAGGGGUGAAAUCCGUUGAUAUCGGUAGGAACGCCAAAAGCGAAAGCAACUAACUAUGGUUUUCUGACAUUCAAGCACGAAAGCUCGGGGAUCAAACGGGAUUAGAUACCCCGGUAGUCCGAGCCGUAAAUUAUGUCUGCUAAGUGUUUGGGCUUAUACCCCAAGUACUGUUACCUAACGGGUUAAGCAGAUCGCCUGGGUAGUAUACUCGCAAGAGUGAAACUCA
rnacentral:rRNA from 1 species